UUAUAUUAUAUACAUAUAUGAAUACAUAUAUACAAAAAGAUGGUGCAAGCAACAGAAUAACAAUUUUUGACAAAAAAUUGGACGGGAAGGGUUUCACCGGUGGAAUUUAAGGAAUUUCAUUAGCGGCUGUGAUGAUUCCGGAAAGAUCUGGAUGGUUGGUGGACUGACGGCGAGGGAGAGGGAGAAAGGAGAGAGGGAUGGCGCCAGCUGGUGGCUGUGUACCGCCGGCCAUGGCUUCGCCAUUAAUGGCGUCGCCGUCGACGAAAAUAGAGGACAGUGGCUGAUUCGGAGAUUUCCGGCAAGUUUUCGGUGUGGACUCGCCGGAAAAAUUCAAGAAAAUUAAAUAUUUUUCGUUCAUUCUUAUACUUACUGAUUUUUCUAUUCAAUUCUAGUCUAUUUUUAACUGAUUUUUCCUUCUUUUUUGGUGCAUCAGUGUAUGUAUCUGUUUAAGAAUAAACAUAUACUUGUGUACAUACAUAACCUGAUAUGUAUUGUCGUGUAUGGAGUACAUAAAUUUUAGUCAAUACGAAGAUGGAAGUCAGUCUGUGAAUAAAAUGUGAAUGU
rnacentral:lncRNA from 1 species